GGGGAUUUAGCUCAGUGGUAGAGCGCUUGCCUAGCAAGUGGAAGGCUCUGGGUUCGGUCCCCAGCUCCG
rnacentral:tRNA from 1 species